AUAAAUAACAGUAACGAUCAAUAAGUUUGUGUUUGUAUGUACACAUCUGUAUGUGUACACAUACACUGCUCUAUAUACAGAGUGUGCAUAUGCAGAGCCAUGUUUUUUCACUGGAUAAAUAAAUUCUUCUUAGCAAAGUUGUAAGUCUAUAAAAUACAUAUGUAGCCUACCAACUAUAUGUAUGUUACAAAAGCAAGGAAAAUCCGUAAUUGUGCAAUGAGUUUGUUCCUGCAUAACUGUUGCAUGCACUAUUUACUCUUAUUGGCUUUCAUAUGACCAUUCCAAAGCUUAAAACUAAGUAUGUGUUCAAUGUUUAGGUUUUCAGAGGAACCAGAAUGUAAAAAUGUUUUUAAACAGAAAACUAGUUCCAAGUUUUGUUUUCUUUUGUUUUUGUUGUUUUGGAAGAAUAUUCCUAGGAUGUAUUUACUUUGCCUGAUGUUUUUUUUUGAUAUCUACUACAGUUCCAUCACCUGUAGUCUAUUGCCCUGUGCAUGUGUGUCCUUUGUCAAGGACUAGUUUUGACUACCAUACCAGUAGGAAUAUGUUGACAGUCAAAAGCAAUGUGGAAGAUAACUCCUUUUCCUUGAAAAGAUUCAAUUUUUGAGAUGAGGAUUUGGCAAUUUUAACAAAAGAUUAAAAUAAAUGAAAUAUUCAUAUAUUUACAAAGUGAAGUUAAAAAAAAUCCAUUUAUUAUCUAAAGAUGCUUAAAAGUUGUAAAGUGUAUAUUGGCUAACAAACUAUCAUAAAGUCACCUUUUGUGUAGUAAUAGCACAAAAUAAACUAAAGAAAGAACAGGUUGCAGACAGUUUCUGUAGAACAUGUGAUGUGCUGUGUGUUCACACCCUAGCUCACCCUGUAGUGGCUUGUUUGUACAUCUACCUACAGGCAGUAGAAGCCUUGUUUCACCUUUUGCUCAGACUUAAUUUAGUAGGUGCAAGCAGCCAGGAUAGUAGAAAGAGAAAUAAUUAAGAAUGAAAUUAGGCUAAAUUUAGUCUGAAUACUAUACAAAGCCUUACUGACUUACAUAUACAGAGUAUAUAGAGAGUAUAUGGUGAACAUGAGUGAGAAAUAAAAAUUUGAAAACUGAGAUUCUGAUUGAUUUGCAUAAUGUAAAUCUUUAAGGGUAAAAAUGAAACCCAACAGGCAUAAUUAGAUUUGCAAUAAAAAACGCAGGUAAGCAAAUCUAAUGCUGUCUUCCUCUUCAAAGCAUAUAGUACUUUGGAUACUAUCAUAAAACAGCAGUGCUGUGGAGCAAAAUAGGAAAGGAGAGGUUGGAAAUUGAAGACAUUACAAAUGUUACUUUCCUCAAACGUUUGGGGGAUGAAUUGGUUAACAUAGGUACAAAAGACAUGAGAAUCUGAAGCUACCUUUUUGAAAAGUGUGCAAGACUCCUCAUAGUCCCUCUUCUGUGUACAUAAGUGUACAUAAGGGCAGUGGCACCGUUCUCAUCAUCUAACUUAGGGUAUUUAACUGAGGUGGUUAUGUCAUGAAACUGUGGCUUCAGGAGAUGCUUUGGGUUAAAUUAAAAGUUUAAUACUGACAAAAAGGCCUUCUCUGUUACCUCCCUGUCCUUCCAUAACUCUGUGUGCUCUUGUGUGUGAUCUCACUACUUACCUUGUGCCACCCUUGGAACUCAUUUGACUGCAGAACAGCAGAAUAAAACAGCAGAAACUGUUUUACCCAAAAGUGUAUGUUUUUGCAAUGUUACUGAGUUUAGUUGCCUGACCUUGAGAACAAUCAGAUAAGCUCCAGAUGCAAUACAGAAAAAUGUGGGAGAAAAGUAAAAGAAGCUGGAAAGAGGGGAUGGAACUGGAUGACCUCCCUCCGAGAGCUGUCAGUGUGUCUCAGCCACUUGUCAACGUCUGGAUUCCCUGUUUACCUUGUAGAAAGAAUUGCAUCUUUCAGUCCUUCAAGUCCAUUCUACCAACUGUUUUACACUACCUUCAUCAUGUUGGUGCUAAAAGAAGGAUGCUCACGAUAUAAAAUAUUGGAAGAGGGAUAAAAAGGAUCAGUUUGAACUGUUGAGUCAGUGGCGCAAUAAUAUGACUGAAUUUUUCCCUUGGGAUAUGGGGAAAGGAUUGAAGUAAGAGAGCUGGCUUUGGUCCCUCAACUCCUUCUCCAAAAAUACAAACGUGCCUUAUUGUUUCUAUGGUAGCCACUAGAGAACCUCUAGAGUGGUCAGUCAUAAAUGUAACUGGAGAAUUGACAUCAAGAUAAUCAGUCAGGUAAUUAUACUAAAAGAAGCAGAAUGGGACACUACUUGCCUGAUUUUCCUACAGAUACAUGCUGUUUGUUUUCUUGGUGUAAUUGCAAAUAGACAGUACACAUUUUCAGGUAUAGUUCUUUAGGUUAUUUCUUUUCUGUGACCACCACAAUUAUAGCUAGCUCAUUCACAAAUUUAAGUAAUGCUUAAGUGUCAUCACAAAUAACGUGUCACUUGUUUAAAAGGCAGGAGGCAUAAGAACAAAUCAUUGCUAGUGCAAAAGUUUCUGUAAUUGGAAAUUUGCCAGUCCAUCUUAAAACAGGAAGUAGAUUGCAAUCUGUUUUGUGUCUCUAUGAUUUUUCAUAGAUAUUGCUUAUCCUUAAGUGCUCUCGUUGAAAAACAUACCUCUGUUUGAACCAUCCCCCUGAUUUUCAGCACCAGCAGAGAAAUAGAGCUUCAAUGAUGUGGAAGUUAAAUCUAGUCUAGACUAUUAUAGAUUGUUUCAUUUCCUCUGUAGACAGAUUCAGCCUACAAGGCUGUAAUUUUACACCUUUUAAAAUAACUGUAUUAUUUAGGUGUCCAGGAUAGGAUGGAAAAUAUAUAUUAUAAAGCUAAACUACAUUGUAUUCUUUUGAUAGCGAUGGUUAUGUAUACACACUCACAAAACUUUGCAGUAUCUGGGAGGCAGGAUUACUGUAUUAAAGUACGAAAAACACUAAUGGUUGCAGGCACAGUAUGAAUUAUCUUACCCCACUGCUGUACCCAGUCAUCUUUACUGGGGAAAAUAGGGAGAAGAAUGGAA